GACGAACGCUGGCGGCGUGCUUAACACAUGCAAGUCGAGCGGUAAGGCCCUUUCGGGGGUACGACGAGCGGCGAACGGGUGAGUAACACGUGGGUGACCUGCCCUCAGCUCUGGGAUAAGCCUGGGAAACCGGGUCUAAUACUGGAUAUGACUCCAUGACGCAUGUUGUGGGGUGGAAAGCCUUGUGCGGCUGAGGAUGGGCCCGCGGCCUAUCAGCUUGUUGGGUGGGGUGAGGCCUACCAAGGCGACGACGGGUAGCCGGCCUGAGAGGG
rnacentral:rRNA from 1 species